CACCUACCGAAGACUAUCAAACUCCGAAUGCCGUCAUCUUAUACUUGGGAGUCAGACUGUGGGUGAUAAGAUUCAUAGUCGAAAGGGCAACAGCCCAGAUCGUCAGCUAAGGUCCCUAAAUGUAAGUUAAGUGGUAAAGGAUGUGGGAUUGCACAGACAACCAGGAUGUUGGCUUAGAAGCAGCCACUCAUUCAAAGAGUGCGUAAUAGCUCACUGGUCGAGUGAUCCUGCGCCGAAGAUUUCCGGGGCUAAAACUUACUACCGAAGCUACGGCAUCAGUAAUGAUGGGUAGGGGAGCUUCCCAUACGGGUUGAAGCAUGACCGUAAGGACAUGUGGACAGUAUGGGAGUGAGAAUGUUGGCAUGAGUAGCGAGAUGUGGGUGAGAAUCCCACAGGCCGUAAACCCAAGGUUUCCAGGGGAAGGUUCGUCCGCCCUGGGUUAGUCGGGACCUAAGCUGAGGCCGAAAGGCGUAGGUGAUGGACAACAGGUUGAUAUUCCUGUACUACCGAUAACCGUUUGAGAGAAGGGAUGACACAGUAGGAUAAGCUAAGCACACUGUUGGUUAUGUGUGCCCAAGCAUUGAGGCAGUCAAAGUAGGCAAAUCCGCUUUGAUAAUGCUGGGAUGUGAUGGGGAGCGAAAUUUAGUAGCGAAGUAGCUGAUUUCACACUGUCAAGAAAAGUCUCUAUCGAGGUUAAAGGUACCCGUACCGCAAACCGACACAGGUGGGUGAGGAGAGUAUCCUAAGGCUAGCGAGAGAACUGUUGUUAAGGAACUCGGCAAAAUGACCCCGUAACUUAGGGAUAAGGGGUGCCACCAUCAGGUGGCCGCAGAGAAUAGGCCCAAGCGACUGUUUACCAAAAACAUAGGUUUCUGCUAAGUCGCAAGACGAUGUAUAGGAGCUGACGCCUGCCCGGUGCUGGAAGGUUAAGGGGAUCUGUUAGAGCAAUCGAAGCAGUGAACUUAAGCCCCAGUAAACGGCGGCCGUAACUAUAACGGUCCUAAGGUAGCGAAAUUCCUUGUCGGGUAAGUUCCGACCCGCACGAAAGGCGUAACGAUUUGGGCACUGUCUCAACAACAGACUCGGUGAAAUUGUAAUUCCGGUGAAGAUGCCGGAUACCUGCGACAGGACGGAAAGACCCCAUGGAGCUUUACUGUAGCUUGACAUUGGGUCUUGGUACUACAUGUACAGGAUAGGUGGGAGGCUUUGAAACCAGGACGCCAGUUUUUGGCGGAGCCAUCCUUGGGAUACCACCCCUUGUAGUAC
rnacentral:rRNA from 1 species